rnacentral:ncRNA from 2 species
AUUCAUCUUCGGGGUCGGGUGCAAUUCCCAACCGGCAGUAAAUUAAGCCUGCGACCUGCAUAAUCUAAUUAUGUGGCUGAUCUAGUGAAAUUCUAGAGCCGACAGUAAAGUCUGGAUGGGAGAAGAUGGAG